CUUCACCCAAAUUCCACCAAAUAUCUCCCGACGGUUGUGCCCGCCAUGUCCUCCGAGUCCAGCUCCGCCGACGAAGCCUCCGACCUAAAACUAAACCCGAUCAAUAAAUUCUCGGAGACGCCGAUGGCCAGGAAAAUAAUGUCGUCUACGAAGCGCCGCACACAACUACAGUGAGAUCAAGAAUGAAGACAACGCAGCUGCGCUGACCACUUCGGUUCCCUCUUUGUUAGGCUGCGGCGGAGGAAUUGAGCAAUGACAUCGGGUGCGAUGAAGGAGGAGAAGGUGGUGGUGUUAUCACGGACGAAUUCGGAGGUGGAAUAUUCUCCGGCAACCGGAAUAUUCGCAUUUCCUGGUGUUUUGUUCAGUUUCGGAGAAUCAGAGAGGUUCGGUUGGUGGUGAAAUGAGAGCUGAAGGAAGACGAUGAUGAAGAAGACGAAGGUAAAUGUAAGCAAGUAUAAGGGUAAGCCAAAAGCACCAUUCUCAAGUAUAGAAUGGUUGAUCAGGCAUAGGUGGACGGAUCGGUACGAAGCUCAUCUCUGGGAUAAGAGUACCUGCAACCAGAAUAAGAAGGGAAAGCCAAGUCUCUCUCUCUCUCUCUGCUAUAUAAAUUUAUUUUUUCAUGUUAUUUUUGUGUAUGUCUCUGGAUCUGUGAAUUGAUCUAUAGUUGCUAAUUGUGUUUAACUUGGGUAAGUUAGUGGCUUCAGUUCUCUAAAGUACCUUAUGGAGCUUGCUAUUAUUGUGCACAUAUAUGUCGAGUUGAUCCUUGAAUAACAUAUGUAAUUUGCAUGGGCAUAGAGGCUGCAACCAGAGCUUAUGAUCUUUCUGCCUUGAAAUAUUGGGGCCCCAACACUCUGACUAAUUCCCCAGUGAGAUUAUUGACCUUGAUUUAAUGGAUUUGUUGCAUUGUUUUUUAUUCACAUGAAAGCAUAUACAUGUUCAAGCACUUCGGUUCAUUUUACCUUUAUCUUAAGGAUGAUAUACUCCCUGGAAAGAGAAUAAAUCAGUGUUUCUUAAAUCAGGGCCUCAGUUUCAUUUUUUCUCAAGAUUUGAAAAUGCAUCACAUAUUUGCAUACUUGUGGUCAACUCUGAAGACUUUUCAAAGUAUUCUUAUUGUAAUUAAAUUUAUUAAUUUCAGAAUGUUUUCUUAUCAUUUUCUCAAUUGCACUCGUUUUAUUACGCUUUAGGUUACUGAUUACACAAGACUUUGAAUUCAUCCUACGAGCUUACAUUAUUUAUAGUAUGUAUUUGUUAAUGUUGUGAUAGCACUCGGUUUAGUACGCCGUAUUCCUUAUGGAUGAGAUACGCUGUA